GAUGAACGCUGGCGGCGUGCCUAAUACAUGCAAGUCGAGCGAAUGGAUUAAGAGCUUGCUCUUAUGUAGUUAGCGGCGGACGGGUGAGUAACACGUGGGUAACCUGCCCAUAAGACUGGGAUAACUCCGGGAAACCGGGGCUAAUACCGGAUAACAUUUUGAACCGCAUGGCUCGAAAUUGAAAGGAGGCUUCGGCUGUCACUUAUGGAUGGACCCGCGGCGCAUUAGCUAGUUGGUGAGGUAACGGCUCACCAAGGCAACGAUGCGUAGCCGACCUGAGAGGGUGAUCGGCCACACUGGGACUGAGACACGGCCCAGACUCCUACGGGAGGCAGCAGUAGGGAAUCUUCCGCAAUGGACGAAAGUCUGACGGAGCAACGCCGCGUGAGUGAUGAAGGCUUUCGGGUCGUAAAACUCUGUUGUUAGGGAAGAACAAGUGCUAGUUGAAUAAGCUGGCACCUUGACGGUACCUAACCAGUAAGCCACGGCUAACUACGUGCCAGCAGCCGCCGUAA
rnacentral:rRNA from 1 species